UACGAAGGGGGCUAGCGUCGCUCGGAAUCACUGGGCGUAAAGCGCACGUAGGCGGCUUCUUAAGUCAGGGGUGAAAUCCUGGAGCUCAACUCCAGAACUGCCUUUGAUACUGAGAAGCUUGAGUCCGGGAGAGGUGAGUGGAACUGCGAGUGUAGAGGUGAAAUUCGUAGAUAUUCGCAAGAACACCAGUGGCGAAGGCGGCUCACUGGCCCGGUACUGACGCUGAGGUGCGAAAGCGUGGGGAGCAAACAGG
rnacentral:rRNA from 1 species